rnacentral:lncRNA from 1 species
UGCAGUGCCUGUCUGUCGGAGGAGUAUAUGCUUCUGUUCCACUGAGUCUGGCUUAAACUGGAAAACCCAUUAAAAUGAAUUUAUCAAAGAAGAAGGAAAAUGAAAAGCCGAAAGAGAGGAGGGAAAGGAGGAGGAGGAGGAGGAGGAGGAGACAAUUUCACAACAGCAAACAAUGACCAAGAGAAGGGGAAGCAGGUCAACAGCAGAUGACAUUGCUCAGCAAGUUACUGGCACAUGGGAAGUGGGUGCAAGGAUACUGCCUAUUGAAGCCAAGCAGAGGCUACUGCAGUCCUGAUGUGGACGAAGGAGAUUGCUGCUACAAAGGGUGCUGCUCUGCCUUGUGGAAUUUCUGAGAUGUUCUGGGAUUGGGA